rnacentral:tRNA from 1 species
GCUGUCGUAGCUCAACUGGCGGAGCAGCGCAUUCGUAUCGCGCAGGCUGCAGGUUCGACUCCUGCCGACAGCACCA